rnacentral:tRNA from 1 species
GGGGAAUUAGCUCAGUUGGUAGAGCACCGGCUUUGCAAGCCGGGGGUCACGGGUCCGAGUCCCGUAUUCUCCACCA